rnacentral:misc_RNA from 1 species
CAGUCGUAACAAGGUUAACUUCACCCCGGAAGCCUUGGAAUACCCAGUCCACACACUACCUGUGGGCUACACCAGUCUGUUGCUUGGCCCUCUCUACCCCCUGUGGUGGAGAUCACCAGCAGCCGCUAAUUUUAGUGGUUCACAGAUCAAACACUGGUGGUCGCUAUUCGAUUAUAAUAUGACCGGUCCCCCUCUAUAAGGAGAUGGACAUUACGUUCCGUAGGUGAACCUGCGGAAGGAUCAUUACCGAGUUAGGGUCUUUCAGGCCCGACCUCCAACCCUAUGUUUAAAUUACCAUGUUGCUUUGGCGGGCCCGCCUCCAGGGGCCGCCGGGGGCUUUUAUCGCCUCUGGCCAGUGCCCGUCAGUAGCCCUUCUUAAAUUCUUUACACAGUGUCGUCUGAGUUAUAUUUAAAUCGUUAAAA